GACAGGCUGUCCGAGUGGUUAAGGAGUUUGACUUGAACUAUCUUGUUCUGGCUAUCAAAUGCGGUUUCCGCGCGCAGGUUCGAAUCCUGCGUCUGUCG
rnacentral:tRNA from 1 species